ensembl:lncRNA
GGGACAAAUGCUAAUUUCUCCUUCCCUCCACCGAACGCCCGAGCGAGAAAUGCAAAUACCUCUGGCAGAGGGCUGCAGAUAAAAGUCUGGGUGUCUGCAUGCGCGCACGCAGAUGGGUUUGAGUGCCGCGAUAAGCUGGCAAACAAGCUGGACCGUAUGGGCAGGCACGGGGCUGCCCUGCUGCGACGGGAUGCGCUCCUCAGGCCGUUCCCUCCCACCGGGGCGUCACGGAGGGCCGCGGCACGGAGCAUCCCGAGCCCCAUCCCUGCGUGGGAUGAGCCCAUGGAGCCACCGUUGCCUUUCCCACCCCGCGGCCGCCCGUGAGCGGAGCUGACCCGUCGGAUGGCGCGGUGCCGUUUGCUCUUAGGACACGGCGGUGAGUGAGGGCUUAACGAAGGGACGAACGACGAGUCCCGUUUUGUUUGCUUUCUGCUCGGAAAUGGGCUGGAAGGGGGACGUGACGGACGGCGGGGCCUCGCCGGGAGAGCUGCUGCUCAGUCGCCGAUUAAAUACGGAGCAAACAACGGCACGAGGACGGGCACAAGGACAAACCCCAUCCCCUGAUACGGGGCGAAGGGACACGGCCGUCCUCCGGGUGCACUGAGCGUCCCCAUAAGGCUCAGUGCCUCCAUCCCUCGGCUGGGCUCUCACUGAGCCCCGGGUAGUGCCCUGCGGGCACCGCCUCCGAAAGAGCCAUUCCCAAGAAGAGCGAUUCUCAAAAGGAGCCGUUCCUUCGGGGCCGCUGCUGGGGCUCAGCCCAUUACCUGCUUCCUUCUGCUCCAGCGGCCGGGAUUACAAAAAUAAUGCCCCUUGAAAAAGAGGAGGAAAAAAAGCAGCCGUGCUGUGGGAACGGCCGGCUAAACCCCAAAGCCUCUUACCUGGCCACAUCUCAGCGCCUUUGUUGCUGCACCGGCCCCAAAUCCCUCCCGUGGCGUGGCAGAGCCCUUUGUAAUGAGAGCAGAGCGGCACAGCCGUGGCCCCGCAUGGGUGUGGGGUACACCUGUCCUUACAGUGUGGCUGAGCAUAGAAUCCUGGAAUGGCCUGGGUUGAAAAGGCCCACAGUGCUCAUUGAGUUCCAACCCCCUGCCAUGUGCAGGGUCACCAACCAGCAGCCCAGGCUGCCCAGAGCCACAUCCAGCCUGGCCUUGAAUGCCUGCAGGGAUGGGGCAUCCACAGCCUCCCUGGGCAACCUGUUCCUCAUACACCCGUCCUGGCACGAUGGUGCCUUCUGCCUGCCUACCUCAAGGGGUGUCUCUGUCUCAGCCCCCGACCCAUCUCUUCGUUAGCAGCUCCGUCAGCGCAUCACCCCCCACCCCCACCCCCCCACUUCAACCUCGUGGCCGCCUCUCCGGGCCCCGCUCGCUCCGCCGCCCACCGC